rnacentral:rRNA from 1 species
CCUACGGGAGGCAGCAGUGAGGAAUAUUGGUCAAUGGCCGGAAGGCUGAACCAGCCAAGUCGCGUGAGGGACGACUGCCCUAUGGGUUGUAAACCUCUUUUAUAAGGGAAGAAUAAAUGAUACGUGUAGCAUGAUGCCUGUACCUUAUGAAUAAGCAUCGACUAACUCCGUGCCAGCAGCCGCGGUAAUACGGAGGAUGCGAGCGUUAUCCGGAUUUAUUGGGUUAAAGGGGUGUGUAGGCGGUGUUUUAAGUUAGUGUUAAAACGUCGGGGUUUAAACUUGAAUGGCCAUUAAUAAUGUAAGUCUCGAGUUCAGACGAGGUAGGCGGAAUAAGUGAAGUAGCGGUGAAAUGCUUAGAUAUCACUUAGAACUCCGAUUGCGAAGGCAGCUUACCAGACUGCGACUGACGCUGAAGCACGAGAGCGUGGGUAGCGAACAGGAUUAGAUACCCGAGUAGUC